rnacentral:rRNA from 1 species
UACGGAGGAUUCAAGCGUUAUCCGGAUUUAUUGGGUUUAAAGGGUGCGUAGGCGGCGCUUCAGGUCAGCGGUGAAAUACCGGGGCUCAACCCCGGGGCUGCCGUUGAAACCGGAGCGCUAGAAUUCCGAUGCCGUCGGAGGAAUGUGUGGUGUAGCGGUGAAAUGCAUAGAUAUCACACAGAACACCGAUUGCGAAGGCAUCUCACGAAUCCGCUAUUGACGCUGAUGCACGAAAGCGUGGGUAUCAAACAGG